CUGGUGUCCCUUUUGUGUGCGAUGUCUC
rnacentral:piRNA from 1 species